AAAUAAUUAAAAAGGCAUUUAAAAGAAAAAUUGGUAAAUUAUAUUCUUAAAGGACGAGACGCUUCGAAAAUUAUAGUGAAGUUUUGACUUGUGAUUUAUAAAUUUCCUAAUUAAAAAAUAAAAUUUUUAAAAUAUUGUGAAGUGAAUCAUCUCAGUAACAAUUAUAAAAAUCAACCGAAAAAUUAUAAGUAACGGUGAGUGAAAAUAAAUUAAGUAAGUAUAAAUAUAUAAACUAUUAAAUAUUUUACAAUAAAAGGUUAAAGUCCUGUUAGAGUUUAUAAUUUUAUUAGUAAUAAGUAAGGUGUUAAAAAUCUCAAGAAAAAAGGAGUACCACCUUCUAAACUUAAAAAUAUAAUUUAAUCUAUAGUAAACGAGUAUUGUAAAAAAAAUUUGAAAAAAUUUGAAAAAAUUUGAAAAAAUUUGAAUGUCUAAUUAUUUACUUGAAGUAAAAAUAUACAACAAGAUGCUUUUUGCAGAACGAGUCAGUAAGUUAAAAAUUAUAGCAAAAUUUUUUAAUAAAAAAUAAUUGAGGUAAGUUAUAGUUAUUAGACCUGAAACCAAGUGAUCUAAUUAUGAAUAAGUUGCUUUUAAUGUAAUAAUUAAAUAAAGACUGAACUUUUAUAUGUAGCAAAAUAUAAAGAAAAUUUGUAAUUAGGAGUGAAAGGCUAAUCAAACUUGGUUAUAGCCGGUUUUUCACGAAAUGUAUUUUAGUACAGCGUUAUUAAAUUAUUUUAUUAAUGUAUAGUAAAAAUAAAUUUAUUUUUAUUUUAACUUUAAAAUUAAUAAUUACAAUUAAUAGUAGUCAGUCUUAAAGCGAAAAGGUUUUUAGACAAGAGGAAAACAAUCCAAAUCGUGUGUUAAGGUAUUAAAUUAUACAUAAUUAAAAGGUUCUAAAAAAAUUAAAUAUUAAAAUAGACUUAGAAGCAGUUUUUUAUUUGAGAAAGCGUUUUAGCUCAUUAUUUUUUUUUUCUUAAAACUAAAAAUUUUUGAUAAAAAAAGUAUAAACCGAUACAGCGAAUAUAUUUUUUUAAAUAUAUGGUAGUGAAACGUUUUGUUAAUAUUUUUUGAAAAGAGAAAUCAAAAAAAACAAAAAUGCGAAUGCUGACAUGAGUAACGAAAAUUAUGUAAAAUCAUAAUCAUAAAAAAAAAUUAGGUUUUCAAUGUACUUUAAAAUUCAUUGAGUGAGUCGGUUCUUAAAAAAAUUUACUAAAUAGUUACUUUGAUAGAAAAAAAUUUUAAUGAUUUUACUAUUUAUAUUAAUUAAUUAAUUAAAUAAAAUAAAUAAAAACUAUUUUUUAAAAUAAAUUAAAAUAAAUUAAAAGAGUUUUUAUUUUUUCAAGAAAGAAAAUAAAAAAAUAAACCGUACUAAAUCCGACACAGGUUUUUUUAUAUGUUUGAAAAAAUUAUAUUAAAGGAACUUGGCAAAUUAAUUCCGUAUGUUAGCUAAAAGGAAUGUCUAUUACAAAGCUAAGAGAUAUCAUAAACAAAAAAGCAACGACUGGUUAACAAAACCACAGGACUCUGCUAAUUUUAAAAAGAUGUAUAGAGUUUGAAGUCUGCCCAGUGCUUAAAAAUGAAACUAUUAAAUUGUUUAAAUUAAAUAAUAAGUUUAAGUAAACGGCGGUUCUAACUAUAAGAAUCCUUAGGUAGCGAAAUUCCUUGACGGGUAAAUUCCGUCCUGCAUGAAUGACUUAACGAUUGCUUUACUGUCUCUAAUAUAAAUUCAGUGAAAUUACAGUAUUCAUGAAAAUGUGAAUUUUUUACAAUAAGACGGAAAGACCCUAGAUCCUUUACUUUUAUUUUAUAUUGUGAAUAAAAAUUAAAUAUAAAAGUAUAAAUGGUAGCUAUUAGCUUUUUGAAAUACCAUUUUUUUAAUUUUUUUAACUAAUUUAAUUUUUUAAAAAACGUGUAAAAAAGAAAGUUUACUUGGGAUGAGUACCUCCUAAAAAGUAACGGAGGUGUACGAUGGUAAAAAUUUUAUAUAAUAGUAAUUUUUUUGCUUGAUAAUAAAAUUAAUAAAUUAAAUUAGGACGAAAGUCAGUUAUAAUGACCCGAAUUUAAGUGUGGAAUUAAAUUCGUUCAACAGAUAAAAGGAACUCUAGGGAUAACAGAUUCAUCAUGAUUGAAAGUUCUUAUUAAAAUCAUGGUUUGAUACCUCGAUGUCGACUCAUCUUAUCCUGAAGUUGUAAAUGAUUUCAAGGGUCUAGUUGUUCGCUAGUUAAAAAGGUACGUGAGUUGGGUUCAGAACGUCGUGAGACAGUUCGGUCCCUAUCUAUUGUAAAUUAAAAAAAUUAAAAGAAAUAUUUUUAGUACGAGAGGAUCAAAAUAUUUUAACCACUGGUGAAUUGAUUAAAAUUAAAUUCUUUUAUAGUCAAGUAGCUAAGUUAAUUAAAUUUAAGUACUGAAUGAAUCAAUAGUACAAAAAAAACUUUUAUAUUUUUUUGAGCAUUCUUUUAGAAAAAAAGAUAGAUCGGUUUAAUUUUUAUUUUUUGUAAUAAAAAUAUUAUAAAUACGAAUUUGUUAAGAAAAAUUAAUUAACUUAAUCA
rnacentral:rRNA from 1 species